GUCAUCUCUUCAUAUCUCUCUAUCAAGUAGAAUUGGUUUUGGUGAAAGAGCAAUCUGAACCUUCUUUUUUAAUAUAAUUAUGAUGAGCACAGUGGGAAUAUGUGCAGAAAGAAAAUCAUCCAAGGCUAACUGGAUGGUUCAUGUGACUGUGAGAGGUUCUGUACACCAAGAAGGUACCUCUGAGAAAACCUGGGCUUCAGUCAGGAAAAGUUUCCUGAGAAUGGGACUGAAGCAUCUGGGUGUAUGCUGCCGUUGUUAUGAGCAAAUCCGAACUAUGGACCUGAUACAUCCUCGCAGCAGGUUAUGCCUGCUCAGCCUGCCUUCAGUUUGUGUAUAUCCUUCUCUACACAUGAAGUGAUCUCUCCACAGUAAUUGUUUAAAAGUCAGUUUCUAAGAAUAUUCCACCUAUUUAAAUCGUUUUCAAUAGUGAGAACAGAGAGCAAAUGCAGAAAAUGAGAACACAGAUUAAGUGGAUUUGUUUUUAAAUUAAAUGAGUGGAAAAUAUUUAUUGGAUUCAUUGUUCUCCAACUGUAAAAGCUGCUAUUGAAUUCCUGUUUGUCUUAAGUAAACACUUGUCCCUGGAGCCUUCAAGCAAUGUUUUUCUUUCUAUCAGGUGCACACUUCAAAAGCCAAUGUCUUCUGUUUAAUGACCUGCCAGAGGCCUCGUUACACUUUCUCUUUGUCCUGAUCAUCAUGUUGGGGAAUCUUCUGAUACCAGGCUGUGCAGGUCAGCCAGUAUCAGGAGUCUUGCUUUGACCAUUUGGGGUUCAUCCUCAAAGUGCUUUGAGGAACUGUACUUUGCUCACUUAGAACUUAACUUGGCCUAUUAAAAUUUGUACUUUGUUUGUGCAGUCUGAAAUGCCGUGGCUGUAUUAUUGGCACUUCAGAAACACAGGUUUAAUGCUCCCUCAGAGUUCAACCUAAAAUAAUUUCUUAGUAUCAAGCUUGUUCAUUCGUUGUAGUGGUAGUUUUGAUUAUAUUGGAGGUGUUCUGAAAGGCAGUAUUUAUAGAAAGAGAUCA
rnacentral:lncRNA from 1 species